rnacentral:rRNA from 1 species
AAUCUUGGACAAUGGUGGCAACCCUGAUCCAGCCAGGCCGCGAGAGUGAAGAAGGACAACGGAUUAUAAAUCACUUUAAGUUGGGAGGAAGGGCUCUAGGUUAAUACGCUGAAGUUUUCACGAUACCAACAGAAUAAGCAUCGGCUAACGCUGUGCCAGCAGCCGCGGGAAUACAGAAGGUGCAAGCGUUAAUCGGAAUUAGUGGGCGUAAAGCGCGAGUAGGUGGUUCAGUAGGAUGGGUGUGAAAUCCCCGGGCUUAACCUGGGAACUGCUUUCAUAACUGCUGAGCUAGAGUACGGUAGAGGGUAGUGGAAUUUCCUGUGUAGCGGUGAAAUGCGUAGAUAUAGGAAGGAACACCAGUGGCGAAGGCGACUACCUGGACUGAUACUGACACUGAGGUGCGAAAGCGUGGGGAGCAAACAGG